AUCCCUAAUCACUUAAUCAUCCUAAAUCCUAAUUCCUACUCAGCUCGUUAGCCGUCUGCCCGUUUCCAUUCUCGACCGUCGACCGUCGUAGCGUCUGCCGUCAACCCACGUCGUCGACCGUCGUCGCGUCUGCCCAGCCUCGCCGACCUCUCCCACCGUCGUCGCAUCUGCUCCGGCGUCGUCCAAGAAACUGCAGAUCAGCCUUCGACCGUCGUGGACGUCUCCCCCGCCGUCGCGUCUGCCCAGCCUCGCCGACGCUUCCCCCCGCCGUCGCUUCUCCUCCCCGGCACCGUCGCGUCUCAGCCGUCGCUUCUGCCCAGGAGUACAGGAGAAAAGGUUGAUACAGAUCUACAGCUCAGGUCAUUGGCGAGGCUAAACGGCGAGGCGGUGACUCCGACUGGUUCAGGUGGAAAUGGUGGAAUUUGGACAAGAAGAGAUAGAGUUGAAGGCUUGAAUUGUUAUUUUUUUUUGGUGUGCUGUGGAGUUUGCAUCAAAUCUUAGAUUGUUUGUAGAAAGUGGAUGUGUGUUGUGGAGUUUGCUAUUUUCAGUAAGAACUCUCAUCACAGGAAAGGAGUGAAGACUGCUUCUGCUAGUAUAUCUCACACUGUUAUUUCGGGGCAACUAACAAAACACUUGUCACACUUCAAACUACCCUGGUUUGGAUCAAGCUUCUUAAAGCAUCCUUUAGCACUGCAAGAAGUAUAAUACCAAUGCCGACCACUCUCCAAUCCAACAAUUUUAGCAGGUACAAAAUAAUGACCUUCCUGUAUAAGUAAACAUAAAAAACAUUUAUUUUUGAGUAAAACUGUACAAUAAUUCCUUCACAUGCAACUGGAAAAUUGACAUACCUCAGCCCUGCCAUACAAAUCAAUGAUAGUGCUCACUAUCACUGGAGUUUUGGAAUUGUUGUCGACACUAUUACCGUAUGACAACAUGGACAUACUGUUUAUGCUUCUAAGGGGAGUGUGAUCAACCUUCAAA